rnacentral:rRNA from 1 species
CACUCCUGCGGGAGGCAGCAGUGGGGAAUAUUGCACAAUGGGCGCAAGCCUGAUGCAGCCAUGCCGCGUGUAUGAAGAAGGCCUUCGGGUUGUAAAGUACUUUCAGCGGGGAGGAAGGCGAUAAGGUUAAUAACCUUGUUGAUUGACGUUACCCGCAGAAGAAGCACCGGCUAACUCCGUGCCAGCAGCCGCGGUAAUACGGAGGGUGCAAGCGUUAAUCGGAAUUACUGGGCGUAAAGCGCACGCAGGCGGUCUGUCAAGUCGGAUGUGAAAUCCCCGGGCUCAACCUGGGAACUGCAUUCGAAACUGGCAGGCUAGAGUCUUGUAGAGGGGGGUAGAAUUCCAGGUGUAGCGGUGAAAUGCGUAGAGAUCUGGAGGAAUACCGGUGGCGAAGGCGGCCCCUUGGACAAAGACUGACGCUCAGGUGCGAAAGCGUGGGGAGCAAACAGGAUUAGAUACCCCUGUAGUCCCAUGA